UGGGGAAUAUUGCACAAUGGGCGGAAGCCUGAUGCAGCAACGCCGAGUGAGGGAUGACGGCCUUCGGGUUGUAAACCUCUUUUAGCAGGGAAGAAGCGAAAGUGACGGUACCUGCAGAAAAAGCACCGGCUAACUACGUGCCAGCAGCCGCGGUAAUACGUAGGGUGCAAGCGUUAUCCGGAAUUAUUGGGCGUAAAGAGCUCGUAGGCGGUUUGUCGCGUCUGCUGUGAAAUCCCGAGGCUCAACCUCGGGCCUGCAGUGGGUACGGGCAGACUAGAGUGCGGUAGGGGAGAUUGGAAUUCCUGGUGUAGCGGUGGAAUGCGCAGAUAUCAGGAGGAACACCGAUGGCGAAGGCAGCUUACUACGGAUUGAUUGACACUGAGGCACGAAAGCGUGGGGAUCAAAC
rnacentral:rRNA from 1 species